GCGCCUGUAGCUCAGUUUGGAUAGAGCGGUGGACUUCGAAUCCAAGGGUCGCCAGUUCAAAUCUGGCCAGGCGCG
rnacentral:tRNA from 1 species